rnacentral:lncRNA from 1 species
ACCUCUCAACCUGUGCUUCUACUUUGCUUUUGUGUGUCUGUCUGUGGGGGGGGAAAUGCAUAUGAAAAGCUUUGCGUUUUAUGCAUCUUUUGUAUGCCACAGGACGAGCCACAGAGAGUGCGCCUCAGGUACUUAAUCUAACAUCGUUGCAUGCCCCAUCGUCUGCCGUUGCUGUUGCUGCUUGCCAUUGCUGUUGUUGUCAUCAUCAUCAUCUCUAUUCAGAGCUCGUGCUGUGUGGCAUAAACCAAAUAUAUUCUAUAUUCAAAUGCACAUUUCCUCCCAACACCAGCCCUUUUGUGGCCUUUUGUGCAGCCCUGUGGCAUGCGAAACCAACUGUGUUUAGGGCUGCAUUUUGGUUUAUCAGUGGCAGGAAACUCGCUCUAUCUCUUUCUCCAGCUCCCUGUGGAAUAUUGAAUUUUAUUUGUUUGACUUUUCCAUUAAUAUUUUGUCAAUUGACGCCCGGCAAACAUAUUGAUAGGAAUAUUUAUG